CCUACGGGGGGCUGCAGUGAGGAAUAUUGGUCAAUGGGCGAGAGCCUGAACCAGCCAAGUCGCGUGAAGGAUGACGGCCCUACGGGUUGUAAACUUCUUUUGUCAGGGAGCAAUUGGGUCCACGCGUGGGCUUAGCGAGAGUACCUGAAGAAAAAGCAUCGGCUAACUCCGUGCCAGCAGCCGCGGUAAUACGGAGGAUGCGAGCGUUAUCCGGAUUUAUUGGGUUUAAAGGGUGCGUAGGCGGAAUAUCAAGUCAGCGGUAAAAAUUCGGGGCUCAACCCCGUCGUGCCGUUGAAACUGAUGGUCUUGAGUGGGCGAGAAGUAUGCGGAAUGCGUGGUGUAGCGGUGAAAUGCAUAGAUAUCACGCAGAACUCCGAUUGCGAAGGCAGCAUACCGGCGCCCAACUGACGCUGAAGCACGAAAGCGCGGGUAUCGAACAGGAUUAGAUACCCUUGUAGUC
rnacentral:rRNA from 1 species